UACGAAGGGGGCUAGCGUUGUUCGGAAUCACUGGGCGUAAAGCGCACGCAGGCGGAUCGUUAAGUCAGGGGUGAAAUGCCGAGGCUCAACCUCGGAACUGCCUUUGAUACUGGCGAUCUUAGAGUCCGGGAGAGGUGAGUGGAACUCCGAGUGUAGAGGUGAAAUUCGUAGAUAUUCGGAAGAACACCAGUGGCGAAGGCGGCUCACUGGCCCGGUACUGACGCUGAUGUGCGAAAGCGUGGGGAGCAAACAGG
rnacentral:rRNA from 1 species